GGUGGCUUGGCCGAGAGGUCUAAGGCGCUGCGUUUAGGCCGCAGUCCACACGGGCGUGGGUUCGAACCCCACAGCCACCA